CUUUUCUUAGGGCCUCUUUAAGGGGAAGUUUAGGAGCCCGGCGGCCUGGAGGUGGGACAGUCACCCGAAACCGAGGGCUUACAUCAGAAUCGAGCUUUGUGGGCGCUCCAGGGUUUGGGCCCUUAGCGAGAUCCCAGACAACAGGUUUUGGACCUGAAGAGCUGCAAAAUUCACGGAGACUGAUCCCUCCAGCCGGCUGGCUCCACCCCGCCUCAAUUUCUUCCCUGACUGCUGGCGUGCCGUCGGGGGCUCUUGCAGUCGGCAAAGAGGAAACACAGCGACAGAAACCAGUGUACAAGACACGAGAAAGGCAAAGUGGAGAAGCAUGUUGCUGCGCUGGGAGUCAGGACGCCAAGGUUCAAUUCCUAGCCCCAUGGCUGUCUCAUGAUUCACCAUUCACCCUGUGCCCACUUCCCCUCUUUCACAAACAUCGAGAUGCUCUCACACAGCCAAGAAGUAAAAAGGCCCUUCCCUCCAGA